CAAAUAAAUUACUUGUACUGAAAUUCUUUUUUCAGAUUCUGAUUUUGCAGAAUCCAAACAGAGUUAGUGGCAUAGUUUACUCUCUGAAAUUGCCUAGACUGAGACUUGCUCUUGAGGAGAACAAGCACUUGGAGCUACAGAGUGUCUGAACUAGCAGCUGACCUAGAAAUCGUCACUGAGCAGCGUGAAGGGAUAUGGCAGGGCGGAGUCUGGUAAGGUACUCCAUCCUUCUGUUGAAGAAUCUAUGCCAUUUGAACUAUAGUUUCCCAUUGUCUGGAUUUUGCUGAUUGCCUACUCAUGGUGCAGUUCAACAAGACCCGUAUAUUUCUGCAAAUUGGAAGCUGGAUCCAGGGGCUUAAUCAGACUCAGACUCAAAGAAAUCUGCAGGUAUUAAUCUUCACAGUCCUCACUGGUGGAAGACUGCAAGGGCAAGCCAGAGCUGAGCUGGAAUGAAAAGAUUUUGUGAAUGAUGGUGUCAUUUUCCAAGACAAAGAAGGUAAGAAAAAGAGCUGAUUUGCGGGAUGAGAUGGAGGAUGAAGGAAAAAUAUCAAUGUCUGUGAGGUAUCCAAACAGAGUAGGCUCAGCAGCUCCGGCAAGAGCUCUGGGCUGAGACGGGAACGGAUUCUGCUGUACAGCAAAGCUGGCUCAAGUCCGGGGAGUGAAUUAAGAUCAGAAAGAGAGAGAGAGACUAUUCACACUGUAAAGAGAAGAGGGAUAAUUUCAGGUUCUUAACGAUGGCCAACACUUCACAAUCCAUCCCUUUCAUUUUUCUCUUCUGUUUUCAAGCUGGUUUGCAUCAAAAUGGUAAUUCUCUCCUUUUAGGAUUUUAAUGCCAGCUGCAGAGAAUUCUGUGUUUCUGUUUAUAAUUGUUUAAAGAUCUGAUUUUGAGAAUAGUAUCUUCAACAACUGUUUGCAACCACUUUGGAAACCUGGUUGGAACAUAGUUUUUCUCUGUUAAACCGAUUGUCUAUGGAGCAUCGCAGUCUCCUGAUAACUGGCACAUGGGCCUCCCUCUCUACUCUGUCCUGUGGCAGGGGAGGGGCAAGAGGCUUUUCAUGACGUUAGAACCUAAAGGCAAGCAUAAUAUCUAGAUUUUGUGCUGCUAAAAAGACCCCCUUCUCUUCUCAGAAGUUCUCAACUCUCUUCCUUCCUUCUUUCCUUCCUUCCUUUUGCUGCACCCAUAGCCUGUGGAAGUUCCUGAGCCACGGAUCAAACCCCACGCCAGCAACCCA